CUGGAUCGGUACGUGCUAGCAAAAAAUACCUAGUGUAAACCAAAGAAGAUGGAUGCAGUUUAUCCUCACAGUUAACAACCAGAUAUAAUUAGACAUCCCAAACAGCACAAGACCCAGCAAGGCUGCACUGUUAAUCUUUCCAAUAUGAAACCUGAUGAUUUUUAAAACUUAUUUUGGAAAUUCAAGUAUUCUUUAUCAACCAGGGAUCCCUUGUUCACACACUUAUUAGCUACUUCAGAGAACUCCAAUCACUUUUGAGACAUGACUUCCUUUAAUUAAAACCCUUCUCUAGCA